rnacentral:rRNA from 6 species
GAUAGCGGAUAGUACCGUGAGGGAAUGGUGAAAAGUACCGCGGGAGCGGAGUGAAAUAGUACCUGAAACCGUGUGCCUACAAGCCGUGGGAGCGUCGCUGUAUGUGCUUGCACAUGCAGUCGUGACUGCGUGCCUUUUGAAGAAUGAGCCUGCGAGUUAGCGGUGUGUAGCGAGGUUAACCCGUGUGGGGAAGCCGUAGCGAAAGCGAGUCCGAAUA